rnacentral:rRNA from 1 species
AGCGAACGCUGGCGGCAGGCUUAACACAUGCAAGUCGAGCGGGCCCUUCGGGGUCAGCGGCGGACGGGUGAGUAACGCGUGGGAACGUGCCCUCUGGUCUGGAAUAACCUGGGAAACUAGGGCUAAUACCGGAUACGCCCUUUUGGGGAAAGGCUUGCUGCCGGAGGAUCGGCCCGCGUCUGAUUAGCUAGUUGGUGGGGUAACGGCCUACCAAGGCGACGAUCAGUAGCUGGUCUGAGAGGAUGAUCAGCCACACUGGGACUGAGACACGGCCCAGACUCCUACGGGAGGCAGCAGUGGGGAAUAUUGGACAAUGGGGGCAACCCUGAUCCAGCCAUGCCGCGUGAGUGAUGAAGGUCUUCGGAUCGUAAACCUCUUUCAGUAGGGACGAAGCGAAAGUGACGGUACCUAAAGAAGAAGCACCGGCUAACUACGUGCCAGCAGCCGCGGUAA